rnacentral:lncRNA from 1 species
AGUUCAAGAAAAAAUGUUAAUUCAUUCAUUAUACAUAUUUCAAACUCACUUUGCAUGAACUUAGUAAAAUCUCCAUAUAAAUCUUCAUUAGUAGAACCAAAAAUGAUGCCAUCAAUGUAUGCUUUGAGCAAGCAAGAUAUCACAAAUUCUUCUUUUUAACGUAUAGAUUUAUCAUUAUUACUUUUUAUCAAAAAGUUACUCAAGCUUUUAUAUAUCAUGCUUUUGAUGCUUGUUCCAAAUCACAUAUUGCUUUAUCAUAUUUGUAAUGAGUGUUUUCAAAUAAGGUGGUGAUUUUACAUAGAUCUUUUCUAAUGAAAUAACCACAUAGGAGUGCAUUCUACACAUUCAUUUGACA